rnacentral:rRNA from 1 species
UACAGAGGUGGCAAGCGUUGUUCGGAAUUACUGGGCGUAAAGGGCGUGUAGGCGGCCUUCUAAGUCAGACGUGAAAUCCCCCGGCUUAACCUGGGAACUGCGUCUGAUACUGGGAGGCUUGAGUAUGGGAGAGGGAUGUAGAAUUCCAGGUGUAGCGGUGAAAUGCGUAGAUAUCUGGAGGAAUACCGGUGGCGAAGGCGGCAUCCUGGUCCGUGACUGACGCUGAGGCGCGAAAGCGUGGGGAGCAAACAGG